CGAGUUCAGGAGUGGGAGAUAGAUGGACAGGACUCAAAACCUUUCUGUAUAUCUUUUACGAAGCUGAAAACGAUUUCGAAGAAACCAAAAAUCCCAAACGCAGCAAAUGACGAACAGAUUGUCGUAAAGUAGAGAAAAGACAAUGGCAGGAUUGCCCACAAAUGAGAUAUACAAAUGUGCAUAUGUUGGUGAAAAAACAAAAAGAAAAACAGUGAAACGAAUCAACACAUUCAAGGCAACUAACUACAUACACGCAUACAUAUAUACACAUACAUACACAUGUGAACGUAAUCAGCCAAAUUCAAUUCAACUGCAAAGGUACAAUUUUUAAGUUAGCUGACUCUGCUUCUUAGCUGUUAGCAAGCAACGAACGAAAAUUAAAAGAAGCAUACAUACAUACAUCUGAACGUAGAUACACAAACAUUGUUCGAAGGAAAGGCGAUGAAUGAGUGCCAGAGCCGUCAACAAUGUAGCGUACGAAUUGGAAAUAA